UGGGACCUCAACAGUCAGGG
rnacentral:misc_RNA from 1 species